ensembl:lncRNA
AUUUACGACUGCAUGCAGAACAUGACGAGCUGUGAUCCCACAGGUCCUCUGCUAACUGAGCAAAAACCUACCCCUGGACCCAGAGCCAAGGGUUGUACCUCCAAAUCAAUAUGUGAUACACAAAUAUCGCAGGGCUCCGUGUUCUGGACGGGGAGCGAUGACGAGGGCCUGAGAGUUAGCCAGCUUUACACCACCUGCCAGAGGAGAAUGAUCUGAUGUGGAAGGCUAGAAGCUUCUGGUAGAAUCAGCGUGAAAAGCAUGUGGUCAGACUGUGUUAAUCAGAUUCAAACUAUGCAUUGCUCCUUUUAAAUCGGUGUUAAUACUGGUCUUUUAAUAACGGGAGAUAUCUGCAGCUUGAAGUUUUUCCCCAUCAAACUGGAUGUCGCUCUGAUCUGAUCGAUCAGAGUCAGAUCAAAAAAGCUCAGUUAAGAAACAGACGGCUGAUUUUACACAUUAGUUAAACUGGAUUGGAUGAAAAAAUUAAGGGGAAAAAAAGCUGUAUCGCUUAAUGGGC